GUAUUAUUUGUUUAAUAAAACAAAUAUUAAGACAAAAAGGGAAGAAGUUGACAGUAACACAAUAGUAGGGGACUUUAUAACACCCCAGUUACAUCAGUGGACAAGUAUGUGUGUAUAUAUAUGCAUAUAUACAAGAAAAUGUCUUCGGUGCCGUGUCGUCAAUGGCCAACACUUGACUGAUUACUCCCAUUCUGACUCCAGUUGAAAUCAACAGUUCCAAGACCUACUAUAAAAGAAGAAAAAUCUUAAAUUUUGUAUAUGGAAUAAAACUUUUAAAAAUAAUUACUAAAAAAAGACUCCAUGCUUCCACUGUAGGGGACACAGAGUCAGUCCCUGGUCAGGAAACUAAGAUCCCACAGGUGUGAGCUAGUUCAGUUCAGAUCAUAUUUACUGAACACCUCCUAUGAAC
ensembl:lncRNA